rnacentral:misc_RNA from 1 species
AGAAGGGUGCACAGGAGGACGGUGUGUAAUCACCAUACGCACUCGCUAUACCGCCAUGCCUCGUGCUCCAUGUCACGCUCUCAGGAGUGCAAAGGUUAUUGUUGGCUAACAAUAGAACACACGAGGCCUGAAGACGACAUGAUCAAGGUGUGACCGCUCACUUCAUCGAAGAUCGUCAGGCUGUUCACAUCUCCCCCUGUAGCCAGCAUGUCGCCGACCUGUGGGGUGUGUUGUGUGUUCGUCUGCUUCACGGUCCUGUGCUUUCUACCGUCAGCAGAGGCACAAAACAAAUGUGUCGCUUGCAGCUACAACAACGCCGGUGACGGCACGACGGACUACGCAUGCGUGAACGAUCCUCUAAGUCACACGCAUAGUUCGAACAUCACCUGCGACUUCACCACUUACAGCUGUGUCAUCAAAGCCGUCUAUCGAUAUGAAGGUUAUGUAGAACUUCAGUCUGUCACGAGAGGUUGUCUGCCAACAUCAGCCACAUCGUCGGAAGUCUGUGGUGACACCGACAGACGGACAUGUUUGCUGCAAUGCAAGACCAACAUGUGUAAUGUCGAGUCCAACGCCGACCUCGCCAAGAUAUACAUCAGCUCCAGCGGUAACCUGUCUAACUCUGUGCCAGCCACCAUAGUUUUACAGCUCGUCACGUGCCUGAGUAUCCUCUCAAUCACUUUGAUAUGACAGAAACAACAUCCUUAAAAGUGAACAUGCAUACGGACAUGCAGACUGCUGAUAAAGGCACAGUAUGCAGUCGAAAAGAACGGGAUUUACCAGUAUUCACACACACACACCCGAAAGUGAACAAGCCACAACAGUAUAAAGUUUACCUAGUAUUAAAUUAAUCAUUGUAAUUAUGUUAGAAUCUUAGAAUCAUUGAAUGAUUAAUGUAUUGAACUCUGACUGUUUAUUAAACACUUGGGAAAGAAUGGUAUUACACUGUAUUGUCAACUGUGUGAAUUUGCUUUUGAAAAAGUGAUGGACAGCCCCCGGAUGAGAACCAUUUAGAUGGUUUAGAUAGCUGUCAUGCUGUUAAGGCUCUUUGGUUUGUAUGACUAAGAGCAACUCAAGCAUAAGAUAGCCAAACAGAUCCUGUUAACAAAACUUUACAGUCACUGAGCCAAGAGACGAUCAUGUUUAAAUGUUGUCUCGGUCAAAUCACCUGUUGUUGUUACAUAUUGUACACGCUGAACAUUUACAUUUAUUUUUGCAUUAUGUCUGAGCAAAACAUGACGAGAGAGAAAUAAAUGACAUGCGAUGAUUUCUGGAGUUAAUGAGAGAAAAAAAAGUCAAUGACUUCAGCGAGAAAGACAGUUGUGUCGGUUUCUUGUGAUGAUCAAUGCUUAUCUCACUUCCUUCGACAUGUUGUAAGUGACUCACUCACAUCUCACUGUUUAGUGUCUCAUAGUUUACACAAUCUUCGAAAUGCAUAAAAUAACACAUACCAUAAUUUCACGAUUCGGUUGUUUUGCUGUUGUUAUUUGUCGUGUUUGUGAAGGAAAGGAUUUUAAAUAUAAAUCUGUUCAACUCUGCAGAUAAUGUUUGAAGGAAGACUAAGAACUAAGUCCUUUGAGGCCGUUGUUAUGAAGCAAGAGUUAAUCAGUUCCCCAGGGUAAAAUGAGGAACUCAAGGAGACACGUCUUGUUUCCGAAGUUAUAAAGCGGUGUCCAGUCCUAGAGGACACUAUUUCAUUCUCUUUACAUCAGAGCUCCAUGGCCUCCUCUUAAUAACUACGGAUUUAGGGUAAAACAACAUCUACGGGGUUUGGACACCACUUCAUUAACUUCGGAAACAAGACAUUUAUCCUUCUAUUAAAGAGACUCUCUUUGCUUCAAAUCUCGGUUUUGUCCGAGGGCAACGACUUACCGUGGCUUUAUAACUUCUGCUCAAGGAACUGAAUCGUAUUUUACUGUUGUUAGUGGUCAGCUUCUGUUAUGUAAAGGGAGUGAACUCAUGGCCUCGCCAGACCUGAGUAGACCUGCUGGUAAGUUGUUCCCCUUUGAAGACAUGAAGUUAGCAGUCGAGUACACGAUAUAUGGCGAUCUCUUUAUCCCAUUAACUCACUACAGGCACAUUAGUUAUGCGUCUUAGUUUACAUAUAAUGUAAAUAUAAUAUUACGGCAGUAAAAUCUUUCAAAAAAC